GGUUGUUGACAAGGUUCAGACUUGAGACGGAAAAUCAGUAAGCUUCAGGCAACCUCCUGCACAGCUCGAAACACAUCAGUUUUGAUUCAACUGCUUACUAAUCACCCCGUAGGGAUAACAGGAUUUUGUUAUGUAUGUGCUUUCGCAAUUGAACAUUUAAUCACCUGCCGAUAAGUGUUCAAGGAAAUGGUUUCAACACACCAUUUUUCCCGCACUGCACAUCCUUGUUUAUUUUUGGCCCUUGAAUCGAAUAAAGCGAAGGAGAAUCAAGCGACAAUUUUAAACACGGGUGCUGAUGAAAUCACUUCCCAAGUGUUUAAUCCGAUGACAUUUUGUCUAUCAUGUUUUAGUAACAGAAGUUUGUAGAAUCUAACUAUGAAAUUGCUCUUUCUCCUGUGGUUUGAAAGAAAAGGAAAGGGAAAGGGAGCCAAAUGGCCGGUCAGGUUAACCCCAUUCCUAACAGCAUCAAGAAGCUAUGAGACAAAUGGAACCUCAGGGGCUUCAUCCUCUUAAGCCUCACAUUGCAGACGCUUUUAAUUCUUUUUGCACCCGCGCGAAAGCGGAAUGGGGAUAAUGUUCAUCGUUUGGUCAUCUUACUUGCUUGCUGACUGGGCUGCUAACUUUGCAAUUGGAUUAAUCUCAAACAGCCAAGGCGACCAUGCAGGUGACGACUAUCCUGGUGAUCUUCUGGCGUUUUGGGCUCCCUUUCUUUUGUUGCACCUUGGCGGUCCAGACACCAUUACUGUGUUUGCGCUUGAAGAUAACACUCUGUGGCUCAGGCACUUUCUUGGCCUCAUAUUCCAAGUUGCAGCUGCUGUGUAUGUCUUCAUUCGAUGCUUUCCCAAAAACAAACUGUGGCUCCCAACCGGCCUCCUUUUUCUUGCUGGAAUCAUCAAGUAUGCUGAGCGCACAUGGUCCUUGUAUAGUGGAAGUUUCGAUAUUUUCAAGGAAGCCAUGAUAAAAGAAGCUGAUCCAGGAUCGAAUUAUGCGAAGCUUAUGGAAUAGUACUCCUCGAGAAAAGAUUCCCAACUUCCAACUCACAUAGAACUCACAGCAGAACGCAUCAAGGAAUCUAGGACGGUGACUUACGUGAUAGGCAAAGAUGAGCUGGACAGUGAUAUUGCAGGGGUGUAACAUGCUCGUUAUUUCUAUCAAAUCUUCAAGGGUCUAAUUAUGGAUCUCAUUUUCAGCUUCCAUGAACCCAGGAGAGUCGAGCAGUCUUCCAUGAAAGAACACCGAAAGAAGCAUUUAAAUUAAUUGCAGCUGAGCUCAACUUUAUGUAUGAAGCUUUCGUCACCAAGGCUGCUGUGGUGCAUACUAAGCCAGCAUACAUUCUCCGGGUGGUUUCUUUCAGUGUGAUUGUCGUAGCCCUUGUUUUCUUCCAUAGAUUAGAGAAAGAGGGUUUCCACUCGUUUGAUGUUAGAAUUGCCUAUACCUUGCUUUUUGAUGCCAUAAGCUUGGAUUCAAUAGCUAUUAUCAUGCUUACAUUCUCAGAUUGGACCAUUGCUGCUCUGAGUAAGUUUUGGCAAAAUUGUCGUCUAGCUAAAACUAUUUUCGGAAAGUAUCUCGAUUUCAAGAGAUCGUGGUGGUGGCCUACGGCAAAAACAAGAAAUGAGGGUGGCCACAUUCCUAAAACAAAAGCAACGAAAUGUUUGGAGUGGAUUAGGAGAAUCCUAUUUCGGAGGUCGUACGAAUCUGUCUCUACAUUCAACUUGAUACAUUACUCCCUCAAGGAGAAGCGGAAAAUGUCCUCGAAAUGGUAUGACUACUUUGGCAUUGGUUACAUUAGAGUCAUCACCUUAUUUGGCCUCAAGGAUCUUCAUGAUAAGUUGACAUAUAGGACCAAAAAGCCGCUCGUUGAAGAGUUAUGGAUUUUUAUUUUUGAGCAGUUGAUAAGUAAAUCCAUGCUCGCUGAUGAUCCUGAAACUGCAAGGAAAAUAGGUGCGGCCAGAGGUGAUUGGGUCUUCGAGGGUAACGAUUAGGAUAGUAAGGUGAUCACUAAGUUACUAUCUUACGUUGUUGAUGUGGAAUAUGACAAGAGCAUUUUAUUGUGGCACAUUGCUACAGAGUUGUGUUUCAACGAUGACAAAAGCAAGGCUGAAGGUGAAGCUGGGCCUGAAGUUAGUGAUGAAACUAAAAAAAGUAAAGAACACAGUAAGACCAUAUCUGAGUAUAUGUUGUACCUCUUAGUUAUGCAGCCUUCUAUGAUGUCUUCUAUAACAGGAAUUGGACAAACAAGAUUCCGGGACGCAUGCGCAGAAGCCAAGAAAUUCUUCAGCAGAAGGGAUCUAGGAUCCGGACAAGUGAAAGAAGCUUGUGAAAAACUCCUGGAGGUAAAUACAGAUGUUGAGCCUGUUGCUGUCAAAGGGGAUAGAAGCAAAUCUGUGUUGUUCGAUGCUUGUAUUCUGGCCAAAGAGUUGAGAAAAUUGAAGGACAAGAAAUGGGAGCUGAUGAGCAAAAAGUGGGUGGAAAUUAUGUCUUAUACUGCAAGUCAUUGCCGAGCGAAUGACAAUGCUCAACUGCUGAGCAAGAGAGCUAGUGACUUUUGUUUGGUUAUUGAUGGCUCAUUUUGGCAUAGGAGAGCAGUUCCAAAUAAAUGAGGGCCAUGCGAGAGCAAAACUCAUCGUGGGAAAGUGAACGGAGGUACUGAACCUGAAUACUUGAAUGAAAAUACUUGGAUGUUAUUGAAAAGCGUCAAAUCUUGUAGACAUUAACGCUUGUUUAAAUGACUGCAAAAACUCAUGAAAUUUAGAACAAGAAUGAGCAUGUCCAAAGCUUGUGCUCCAAGCCAAAACAAGUGCGUGCUAGCAAUUAAUUGCA